UGGAGGAGGGGGCUACCGAGGGCAGCUGUCCCUCUCCUGGAUGUGGCUCAGCCGGCUUGCUGGCCGGUGAUUGAGGUUGAUUGUGCAGGUGACACACGCCUCCUCCCCUCGUCUUCCUGUAUGCUGCUGUUUCUUCUGGCCUAGUUCUGCUCCGAAGGCGCAGCAACGAGGGUGCCCUGGGCGGCUGUCCCCUCUCCCAAGCGCAGCCCCAGCUGGGCUUAGUAGUACAGUGUCCGCUGUGCAGGUGGCGUAUGCCCCUCCCCCAUCUUACUGUAUUGCACUGCCGUUGUAUCGACCUGUUGCGUGCACCCACCGUUCCCAGCAGGUCGAACUGCGAGCGAGGUCGUCGCGUUGCAGCUGGCAUCAGCUCCAGGAUUUGCACAGUUAUAAUAAUAAUGCAGGCGACUGGUUUGAUCAAACGCCGCCUGGUCACAUGAUCUGGUCACAUGAUCAGACAGCCGCUCGCGCAGCGCGCUAGUAGCUAAGCUACUCGUUUCAAACAGCUGGAGGUGUUCAGGCUGCAAAUUCCUCAGCCUUAGGCUCCAAUGCCGUAACUGCCCUGUUUAGACCUUGGGACUAGAGCGCUGUGCUUGUUUGUAUUUGUUGAUCCAAGGAGGAGGGGCAGAAUGUAGCAGUGUAGGUGUGUGCUCUGUGCAGGGCACUGCUGAUUAGCCACCUGAUGCCGCAGCAGAGAGGUGUGUGCCCUGUGCAGGGUGCUGCUGAUUGGCCACCUGGUAAGGUGGACCAGUAUAAAAGCAGGCCUCCUCCCAGCAAUCAUCCUUUUGCACUUCAGCUGGUCUUGGCAUGUCAUAUCCAGGUCAGAGGCUGCCCGACUGAGAGGUACGGCUGCACGCUGCUUCAGCUUGCUGGCUGCUUGAUUUCCCUCAUUGUGCUUACAGCAUGGGUGCUUGUUUGCAGGCAACUGUUUGUGUGCAGUUGGGUGCUCCGUUUUGAGGCUUCGCUGCAUUGUUGAGCUUUGGUAGGUGUCCUCUCUUCACAGUGUAGUAGAUGCUACCACAGGUGGCUGAUGCUAGUGUGGUCACAGGUGAAGCGUUGGUGGCUGGAGUCCUCUCUCCCUCCCUCCUCUGAGUGUGCGUGUGCAUCUGCUGAAAUUCCAGGUAUGCAUGUGUAUAGUUGCAGCUCGUCGGCAUGAGUUAGUCUAGCUGUUUUAAUAGUAUUUCAUUGAUCCAGGUGCCGCUGUGACCGGCUGGGAGUGUCGCUGCUGCUUUGUCUCCAGCUGAUCGUCUCCAGCUGCUGGAGUUGAGCUGCUUGGUCACAAGUCUUUGUUUUUGGUGCCUCCAACCUGCAUAACACGGUCUGCCUGUGCCGCUGAGGAGAUCCGACAGCGCAGCAGUUACGACUGAGCCAAUUCCCCCGUUGCCUUGUGCAGGCCGGGGCACCAUCUUAACUGGGGCUCUCCGCCCCCACUUUUAGCAUGAAUGAGUCCAUGAGUGUGUGAAUGUGUGGGUUGUGUAUGUGAUGGUGUUUUGUGUUAUGUGCAUCUUUUGUUAAUUUUGAUUUCUUUUUGAUUGCAACCCCGAUGUUUUAUUCCCUUCCCCUUCUUGCAGUGGCUGGAGGCCAGUGGUGGUGGUGUUGGUGAUCCGGUGGUGGCGUCCCUCCAUUUUCUUCGCGUGUUCCUGGUGGUUGGAGUAUUUUUUUGUGUGUGCCACUGGUUGGGUGAUUUUGAUUGAUUUAUUUUUCUUUGGACGGUCCCUCCACCUCACGAACCCGGGCCCACCUACUAGGCCUCAGCCAGGGAGCCGCAAGUCUUUGUUCAAGCUGUAGAAGGUCCAGUCACCCCUCAGGCUCCGCCCCUUUUCCAAGUAGCAUCUGUUGCCCCCGCUCAGCCAUACCCUCAGGUGGUGCCCAACAUUAAAAACCCAGGGUUUCUGGGUUCUGCUGAGCCUCCAGUUUACCAACUGAACUGACCCACACACAUCAACUCCGAUCAUUGCAAACCUGCUUCUUGAGCUUGUCUUUCUUUUUCUGUAAAAAUGUAUCAGUGAGAGAUGUGGAAACAGUUGGAUUACCAUGGACAAAAAUAAAAACCAGACUUUCAUAGAAUGUUUGAAGGACCUUCAUGGUGGUACAUGUGGAUUCUGCUUCAGACUUUUAUUAAGCAAGGAAGAGAGAUUAUUCAGGGAGGUCGUACAGGAAGGUCAACAGAUGAGUGCUGCAAAGUGAUAUAUCAUUGUUGAAAUAUUAUGUAUCAGAUAAUACUUUGAAAGUCAGUAUGCAAAGUGGAUUUGGUUUGAGGUUAUUCUAUGAAAUUAAAAUACUUCAGUUCAAUUAACCUUCCUCUGGUCUGGAACUGUUUCAAAAUUAGCUGAUAAACACAUGGGUGGUUGAUUGUUGCAAGUAAAACAAGUUUUGAUCUGC